UGAGGCAGUAUAAGGGGUGACGAUCUUAGUUUGAGGGGACAGAGGGGGCAUAAGUGAAGUGUAGGACCGAUUCAUAGGUUCCAUUCUGGCCUAAAAGGAGUAUAAAAAGGGAAGUGGGAGGGAGAAAAACACAACAAACAGUUACAGAGGUAAGCUUUGACUCUAUCACACUACAAAGCAAGGAAUCUAGGACAUGCAUGAAGAGGAUGCAGCAGUUGGUGAUUACAAAGACGGACAAUGUCAGGAAGGUUAAAAUCUGAUUCCCUAGGUAUCAAGGACAAAGAAAAUUUGUUUCACUCUGCAAUAUUCUUUUAACAGCUAGCUACACUGCCUAACAGUACGGGAACAAGUUCCUGUUGCACAGCCAUUCGGGUGGUGACAGGAUGUGUGAUUUCUGACCUUGGCAAUGGGACUUUCACAAAGCCUGCCCUAGGUCCUCCUGGGCUCAAAAGUUCACCUCCAGUCCAUGACUGCAUCCACAUCAAGCAGAUGCCGCCCUAGGAAGGGAUGCUGGUGGAAGGCCUCCCGAGGAGUGAGCACGGCUUUUGAUUCUAGUAAGCUGACACGUGAGUAUAUGAGAAUGCUCAGCAGCUGUGCACAGUCACACAGGAAUGAAUUCGACACACACACUUGUGUGAAACACUUGCAUCCAACAUGCACAGAAGUCCAGCAAUGCAGGUAAGGGGAGCAUUCUUUACAUUUGCUUUACUGGAAAAUACAUAAAGAAAUGCGUUGUAAACAUUACAGCAAAAGAUAAAACAUCACACAGAAAAAGCCAGAUGAAAAUAAGAGGAAACUGUAGAGCUAAAGGAGAUUGUCAGCAAGCAGGGCUAGGGUUUGCCAGUGAGUUGUCAGCCACGACAUCUGGGUUGUACUUGGCACGGUUGAAAUGGCUGCUUACUGCCUGAUCCAACCAUGUGUACAUUUGUGGCUCAAGGACUUCUUAAAUACAGAAAGGAGGGAAUUUUGAUUUAAUAACUCUGGGAUCACCCUGUAGGCUCUUUGCACAACUGUGAAGAAAUGAGGUAAUCCAUCGGUUCUCAAUCACAAAUGAUACCUAGUUGGCAUUGAGGGUGUUUAAGUUAGUGAACUAAAGGUUCAUUCAUAAGCUGAAUUCUAAUGCCUAUCAGGGGUUCACGUUUCUCUAAAAAUUAUACAUCCAAAUAAAAGUAUUAGUUGUAAGAUUUGGUUAUAGGAGUCACCCAGGUUAAUGUGUUUCAGAGAAUAGCCCCUGACCUUAACUUGACCCUGUCUUGGCUGCUUCAGGAGUGCAGACCUUAGCUGUGCUGGCCUUCUCAUGUGGCACCUGAGACUGCGGUAACAGAAGAAACACAGAAGGAUCAAGACUCAAGCAAACUGACAUCAUUGCAUAGCAGGGUUCAUUCUCUCUCUAAAACUACAACGACAGACUUUGUUUCCUAACCACAGAUCAUUUGGGUCUUUGUUUUCCUUGAUUGCACAUGUGUUUCAAAUGGAAAGGAAAUGUACCUUUGCGAUUCGGAUCCCAUUGACCCAUUGAUGCAGUGUCCUCACAUCAUCACAGCAAAGAUACUUGAUAUACUGAGACUUCUUCUGGAUCUGUGGGUGCUACAGAAGGAAAGGCAGAAUCCGGCUAACGGGCUCUUAAACAUGUCCUGGACAGUCUGGUUCCAGCUCCUGAUGCCCCUGAAUGCUGGGAUUAUUGGAGUGAUCUCUACGUUCACCAUGUUCCCCCUGGUGCUAGGAUGGAGCUAAACUAAUGCCCCACGCCAUGCUUACAGAACUUACAGGUGUCGCCUCAGCCUGCUCUUCUGUGACAUCAGAGUGGUGCUUGGCCUGCUUACUGGGACAUCUCAGAGAAAUAGCAUGCUGUGGAAAUGGAGGAAGGAAAAAAAUGACAGGGGGUUACAGAUUGUCAAGAGUCUCAGAAGAAACUUUUAAAUGGUGUUGAGUCUGUGAUUGGCUAUGGGGACUUUUUAAGUUGGACUGAAUAUAUUUUUGCAUUAUGGUAUGGCUAUAAGCUUAUGGGAGCCAGGAAGUACAAUGUGAUGGUUUGAAUAGGAAGGAAUGCACCCCUAUAGGCUCACAUAUUUUGAAUGCUGAAUCUCUAGAAGUGAAACUCUGGAAGGAUUAAGAGGUGUGUCUUUACUGGAGGAACUGUAUCACUGGGGGAUCAGCUUUGAGGUUUUAAGGGCCCAUGGUAGGCCCAGAAUCUGUCAGCUCCUUCUCCAGCACCAUGUCUGUCUGUACUCCACCAUGCUCCCCACCAUGACGGUAAUGGAACAAGCCUCUGAAAUUGUAUGCAAGCUCUUCAUCAAAAUUAAACUACUCUUUUUGUUUUGAAGCAGUCUCAUGAAGCAGUCCUCAAGCUCAGUAUCCUCCUACCUUAGCCCCAGAAUUAGCUUCUCAAAAUUCUUAAGCAAGCCCCCAAUUUAAUGUUUUCUUUUGUAAGAGCUGCUUGACCAUAGUAUCUCUUCACAGCACAACAGUCCUUAAGACACAAGUCAAAAUAAGAAACACAAUGAGCUAUGAAAACAGUAUGAUAUGCUAUCAGAACUUAUUGUUAAAUGUUCAUUGUGGCUUUUACCAAGCAAUGACUUAAAUAGAAUACAUUCACCCACAUAGAAAUGUUUGAUUUUGCUUAUUUACUUGAACAGAGUGCACUAGUCAUAGUAAUAUGUUGAGACAAUUUUUAUAUGAAUAAACAGUACACAGAACUGAAGUUUUAAAAACUCUCCAGUCUAUUAAGUUUCCUAUCAAUUGUUCAUUUAAAACUCAGAAGUAGACAGAGAUAGUACUCGGGAAGCUUGAGUCUGUAGGUCAUUCGAAUCUCUACUGUGUUAAGAAAAUUAAAAAAAAACAAACUAAAGUGAUUAGCUUAAGUCAGCCUGCACUAUGCAGUGAGUUCUAGUCUAGCCUGAGCUAUAAGACAAGAUUCUGGUUAAAAAGAAAAGCCCCAAAACAAUAAAAACAACCUUUGCCAUUUUAAGCACUAAGUAGUUAACUUUCAGUGGCAUUAAAUACAUUCACAUUACCAGGCAGUGGUGGCUCAUGCCUUUAAUUCCAGCACUCUGGAGACAAAGGCAAGUGGAUCUCUAUGAGUUCAAAGCCAGUCUGGUCUAUAGAGCUAGUUACAAGACAGUAAGGACUUCAGUGAGAAACCCUGCCUCCAGGAGGAAAAAAAUAAACCAAACAUGUUAUUGUGUAACUGUUACACUGUCCAUUUCCAGAGCCUUUUCACAAUCCCAAACAGAAAUACUACCUGUUAAACAGUAACUUCUUAUCUACCAUUGCAGCUUCUAGUAGCAACUUUCUUACCUUUCCCUAUGACUUUGACUACUCUGGGUACUUUCUGUAAGUGUAGUCAGUAAGAAAUAACAUGAAAACCAGCAAUCUACUCCAAGCUCUUCAUUUAACAGGUAAAGAAAUUAAGAAGUCAAUGAGGUUGCAUAUCAUACUCUAUGAAUACUACUUUUCCUAAAGAAACAGUUUGGGAUAAUACCAAUGUUGACUUUCACAACUUCCAAACCAAAGCAAAUGUACACCCUGAAUCUGUUGUCCUUCCAUUAAGUAUUUACUUAAUUAUUUAUUUGGAGAGAGCCAAAACCCAGCAAAACCAAAACCAAAAGCAACACAAUUAUCCUCAAAGAUAAUGGUUUAAAAUACCUGGCCAGAAAACAAAGCAUUGAAAACUGUGGAAAUAUUCUCAAAAGAUAUCUGGUACUCCACUACUGUCAGCCAGACACUGAGAGUCUAAGUGAGACCUGAAGAGUCUGUCCAUGUGGACUACUAAAUAGAGCUAACACUCAUCACAAAGAUAUGGUUACACAUAGUUCUUCACUAAAAUCAAACAGGAGUGAGUAGCAAUCCAAGUACCACAAAACGUCUGCAGAAAAAGAAGGAAAAAGAAAGAAAAAAUCAUGAAGCUUUGGAGACAUUUUCAACAGGGCUGUCUGUUAACUGGUGUCUGGAAAUCAGUUCAUAUCACAAAAAAAAAAAAAUAGACAAUCUGAAGAGCAAACUCAACAAAGGCUUUUAAAGGGUGUCCUUAUUGGACCACUUCUCCAAGUUUCUUCCUAGAGAAUUCAGAUUUUUUGGGGGGGAGGGAGCUGGUUUUGCAGACAGGGUCUCAUUCUGUAACUCAGGUUGACUGCAAUUCUCCUGCCUCAGCCUCCUGAGUGCAGAGACUACAGGCAAGAUCCACUCUAUCUAGCUCCCGAAUCCAGCUCUCUUAGGAUAAUCACCACCAACAUGUGGAAUGUCGUCCUCUCCUACUCUACACUGUUGAAAUGCCACUGGUCCUGUUGAAAUCGAAAUACAUGAUGUACAUGUAUGAAAAUACGAUGAAACCCACUGCUAUGUAAAAUCAGCAUGUGCUAAUAAAACAUUAUUUUUAAAAGAAA